rnacentral:rRNA from 1 species
AACGAACGCUGGCGGCAUGCCUAACACAUGCAAGUCGAACGAGACCUUCGGGUCUAGUGGCGCACGGGUGCGUAACGCGUGGGAAUCUGCCCUCUGGUACGGAAUAACUCAGGGAAACUUGAGCUAAUACCGUAUAAUGACUUCGGUCCAAAGAUUUAUCGCCUGAGGAUGAGCCCGCGUAGGAUUAGCUAGUUGGUGAGGUAAAAGCUCACCAAGGCGACGAUCCUUAGCGGUCUGAGAGGAUGAUCAGCCACACUGGGACUGAGACACGGCCCAGACUCCUACGGGAGGCAGCAGUGGGGAAUAUUGGACAAUGGGCGAAAAGCCUGAUCCAGCAAUGCCGCGUGAGUGAUGAA